GCCAGCUCUCAUCGACCAGUGGCAUCAUAUGAUCUAGCAUAACCUGUUUAGCACAAGUCAAGUUAAGAAAUCGGUAGAGUAGAUAUAGAUAUGCCAAUAUGAAGUAACUAAUGUGCAUUAUACACAAAGGGAUACUUGGGCGCCAAAUGACAUCCAAAUUAGUGAAAUGCAUGGAUUGUUAAACCACAAGAAAAAAAUCUUUUUAUUGCUUCUGGGAGGUAUGAUUUUGUUCAAACAGCUUUGAUCUUAAACAUGGAGCAAUACUUCAAAUGAGCAAUAUGCAGAAAUCGUAGGGGGAAAAGAUGCAGAUCAACCAUGAUUUACAGCCCCACCACCAAAUGUGUGCUUCAAAUGAGCAAUAUGCAGAAAUCGUAGGGGGAAAAGAUGAGAUCAACCAUGAAUUAAGAGCCCCACUGCCAAAUGUUUUUUCGAAAAGGCUACAACUUAUAACAAGAAGGGAAGGAAAUGUUCUAGACAAAAAGCAUGUAAAUCCAAAGAUUCAAACCCCCACGUCAAUGUUAUAAACAGGUAAAACCAAAGCUCAUAAUAAUGUAAAUAAACUAUAAGGCACUUACCAGCCUGGUCCAGAUCUUUAGAAAGAUUAGUCCUAAAGCCCAAUCUUGAUAAAGAAGGAAGACUGGACUUUCAUCAAUGGGGACUCGCAUUGGCACAAUGACCAGAAGUUCAAAAAGCAGACCAAUUAACACAGGAAUAAUAAAUAUC
rnacentral:lncRNA from 1 species